rnacentral:rRNA from 1 species
ACUGACGCUAAAGCUCGAAGGUGCGGGUAUCGAACAGGAUUAGAUACCCUGGUAGUCCGCACGGUAAACGAUGGAUGCCCGCUGUUUGCGAUACAAUGUAAGCGGCCAAGCGAAAGCGUUAAGCAUCCCACCUGGGGAGUACGCCGGCAACGGUGAAACUCAAAGGAAUUGACGGGGGCCCGCACAAGCGGAGGAACAUGUGGUUUAAUUCGAUGAUACGCGAGGAACCUUACCCGGGCUUGAACUGUAGUGGAAGGAUACAGAGAUGUUGACGCCCUUCGGGGCCGCUGUGGAGGUGCUGCAUGGUUGUCGUCAGCUCGUGCCGUGAGGUGUCGGCUUAAGUGCCAUAACGAGCGCAACCCCUGCCGACAGUUGCCAUCGCGUGAUGGCGGGCACUCUGUCGGGACUGCCACCGCAAGGUGUGAGGAAGGUGGGGAUGACGUCAAAUCAGCACGGCCCUUACGUCCGGGGCUACACACGUGUUACAAUGGGUGGUACAGAGGGCAGGCGUCCGGCAACGUCCGUCUAAUCCCGAAAGCCAUCCUCAGUUCGGACUGGGGUCUGCAACCCGACCCCACGAAGCUGGAUUCGCUAGUAAUC